rnacentral:rRNA from 1 species
UAAGUCCUACGGGGCGCAGCAGUGGGGAAUAUUGGGCAAUGGGCGCAAGCCUGACCCAGCAACGCCGCGUGAAGGAAGAAGGCUUUCGGGUUGUAAACUUCUUUUGACAAGGAAGAGCAGAAGACGGUACCUGUCGAAUAAGCCACGGCUAACUACGUGCCAGCAGCCGCGGAAAUACGUAGGUGGCAAGCGUUGUCCGGAUUUACUGGGUGUAAAGUGCGUGUAGCCGGGCUGACAAGUCAGAUGUGAAAUCCGGGGGCUCAACCCCCGAACUGCAUUUGAAACUGUUGGUCUUGA